AACGUAGGGGGCGAGCGUUGCCCGGAUUCACUGGGCGUAAAGCGGGUGUAGGCGGUCCGGUAAGUCGGGUGUGAAAGCCCCCGGCUCAACUGGGGAGGGUCACGCGAUACUGAUCGACUCGAAGGCAGGAGAGGGAAGUGGAAUUCCCGGUGUAGUGGUGAAAUGCGUAGAUAUCGGGAGGAACACCAGUGGCGAAGGCGACUUCCUGGCCUGUUCUUGACGCUGAGGCGCGAAAGCUAGGGGAGCAAACGGG
rnacentral:rRNA from 1 species